GUGAAUAACGUGGGUGUCUUCGCUUCGGCAAGGCAUCUGCACCUUUACAUCCAUAACACCUGUGAACCGUAAGAUGUGGUGAUUCGUUGCCCAUCUGACCUUUUUAUCAAACAUCAGUAGUAAUAAAAGUAGUUAUAUUAUAAUCUAAUA
rnacentral:misc_RNA from 1 species